rnacentral:rRNA from 1 species
GAUAGGCAGAGAGGAGGCAUCUCUUCUCUGUUAAAGUUGGGAUACAACGCAAACAGAUGGAUCUGCGGUGCAUAAGCUAGUUGGUGAGGUAACGGCCCACCAAGGCGAUGAUGCAUAGCCGGCCUGAGAGGGCGAACGGCCACAUUGGGACUGAGACACGGCCCAAACUCCUUACGGGAGGCAGCAGUAGGGAAUUUUCGGCAAAUGGGGGAAACCCUGACCGAGCAAAUGCCGCGUGAGUGAAGACGGCCUUCGGGUUGUAAAGCUCUGUUGUAAGGGAAGAACGGCAUAGAGAGGGAAUGCUCUAUGAGUGACGGUACCUUACCAGAAAGCCACGGCUAACUACGUGCCAGCAGCCGCGGUAAUACGUAGGUGGCAAGCGUUAUCCGGAAUUAUUGGGCGUAAAGGGUGCGUAGGCGGCGAGAUAAGCUCUGAGGUAAAAGCCCGUGGCUCAACCACGGUAAGCCUUGGAAACUGUCUGGCUGGAGUGCAGGA